rnacentral:rRNA from 1 species
UGGGGAAUAUUGGACAAUGGGGGGAACCCUGAUCCAGCGACGCCGCGUGAGUGAAGAAGUAUUUCGGUAUGUAAAGCUCUAUCAGCAGGGAAGAAAAUGACGGUACCUGACUAAGAAGCCCCGGCUAACUACGUGCCAGCAGCCGCGGUAAUACGUAGGGGGCAAGCGUUAUCCGGAUUUACUGGGUGUAAAGGGAGCGCAGACGGCUUGGCAAGUCUGAAGUGAAAGCCCGGGGCUUAACCCCGGGACUGCUUUGGAAACUGUGAAGCUAGAGUGUCGGAGAGGUAAGUGGAAUUCCCAGUGUAGCGGUGAAAUGCGUAGAUAUUGGGAGGAACACCGGUGGCGAAGGCGGCUUACUGGACGAUAACUGACGUUGAGGCUCGAAGGCGUGGGGAGCAAACA